UUUCUAGUAAAUCGCUUCAAUGUGGUCAUUUGCAUGAUAGUGGAACUUUACAUUUGCCCCUCUGUUCCUCCACAUGUUCCGUUGGAAUAUCUACUGUUUCUUCAAGUUGUACUAUUGGUCUUUCUCAUCUUCUCUGGCUCAGCUUCUUCUCUCCCUCUGCCACUUAUUUGUCCUUCUUUCUUUCAUCUCCUCGUGUGUGGACAUGCUUCAUUCUACAGUUACCCCAUUUGCUGCAAGUGAUAACAGCAUUACAUUUGUUUUGUUAUGCAAAAAAACAUUGUUCAUUGUAUGGGAAUGAUAAUGCAGAAAUAACGCGCAUUACAGUUGGCUACAUGAUUUUGUUUAUCUGAUUUAAAAAAUAUUUUUUAAAUCCCGUCAUUUGGUGGUAUUUUAAGUAGACAAUCUAUUUCAGUAUGUAAGCAGAGGCACUUUGAGGAGAACCAGCUAAAACGCGUCAGUUAAAUUCGUGCGGCAAACCUCGGUGUGGUCAGCAGCGACGGAAGAUGUAACUUUAUGUUUCAAAUUGGGGUUUAUACGGAUACAUUUCGGGUCUAGACGCGUUAUCCAUCGCAGCGCUUCAAGUUCGGAAAAUAUUACCAAGAAACAGAAGUACAUUUAUUUUGACUACUAACGUUAAUAUCGCUAUGUUCUCUCUCACUUCAAAUAUAUGUGUUUGUGUAAUCCGCCUGCGGUUGUGUAGUUUUUUUUUUAUCGUACCAGGACGAUGCGCACAACCCAUGAAGAUUUAAAAUAAUUGAGGACUUUAUAAAGAUGACCACAGAACGUGUAUGUGUUUCCAUUGGAGUGCUGCUGUUUGCCUUUUUGUCUUUCUCCAUUGUUCAAGGUGCCAGCAGCCAUCACUGAGCGGAUGCAUGAGGAACCCAUGGAGGAUUCAGUCACGGUUUCACACUGUUCUCAAAGGCUUGUCCCUCCCUCCCAAUAGCAUACAAAGUUAUAACUACCGUGAUGGUCACACCACCAACCGGCCGAGUAUGAACCCAGCGGAGGGCAGUGGAGCUGGUUUCAACGUGGGCGGUCUGAAGUCUGUCCUGCAGAACGCCGUGUCCCCAGCCUUCGGCGCCACCAUCAUCAUCAUCAUCACUGUUAUCGUGUCAGGGAGCGCCUACCUCUGUUUCCUCAAGUACAUCUGUGCAGGCUGCUGCAAACCCACACAGGUGGCCCCGGUCACACAACUAGACCCAAACAAGAGUGAGGAGCAGGUGUAGCGGAGUCUGUCAAGUUUCAAGUUUUUAUUGUCACGUGUACUAGUACAAUGAAAUUCCUUUCUUGCUUGUUCUUUUCCAACAAUGCAGUAAUCAAUAUCAGUAAUACUAUAAAAUGAAUUUUAAAAAGUUAAGUGGAACAAAAUCACAAAAUAAGAACACAAGAAAGUAAGUAAGCUAUAUACAGGGUCAGUUCCAGAGUUAGUGCCAAUACUAUUGACAAUGUGUAGGGCAGUGGCUACGCAUCAUUCAGGGCAGAGACCCAACUGUUUGGAGGCACCCCAUUUUUUUGCCUGUUUUGCAUGUUAUUUUGGCAUUAAUAAGUGUCACAUAUCAGUUUGCAAACAAUGUAAAACAUAAAUAAUCAUUGAGUUAAUAAAGCCGC
ensembl:lncRNA